rnacentral:rRNA from 1 species
ACGCUCGACACCUACGGGAGGCAGCAGUGGGAAUAUUGCACAAUGGGGGAAACCCUGAUGCAGCGACGCCGCGUGAAGGAAGAAGUAUUUCGGUAUGUAAACUUCUAUCAGCAGGGAAGAAAAUGACGGUACCUGACUAAGAAGCCCCGGCUAACUACGUGCCAACAGCCGCGGUAAUCUGAGCGGGCUGGCAAGGC